rnacentral:rRNA from 1 species
UACGUAGGGUGCGAGCGUUGUCCGGAAUUAUUGGGCGUAAAGAGCUCGUAGGCGGUUUGUUGCGUCUAUCGUGAAAACCUGCAGCUUAACUGUGGGCUUGCGGUGGAUACGGGCAGACUUGAGUUCGGUAGGGGAGACUGGAAUUCCUGGUGUAGCGGUGAAAUGCGCAGAUAUCAGGAGGAACACCGGUGGCGAAGGCGGCAUCCUGGACCGGCAUUGACGCUGAGGCGCGAAAGCCAGGGGAGCAAACGGG